rnacentral:snRNA from 1 species
AUCACUUCUCGGCCUUUUGGCUAAGAUCAAGUGUAAAAAAAAUACUUUAUUUAUUUUUUUAAGUUUAUUUAUUUAUUUUGAGAGAGACAGCAUAAAUGGAGGAGGGGCAGAGAAUGCGGGAGAAUCCUAACCAGGCUUGGUGCUGUCAGUGCAGAGCCUGAUGCAGGGCUUGAAGCCUCAGGAUCUUGAGAUCAUGA